UUCUGAGCCGCUUAUCCUCACAAGGGUCGCGGGAGUGCUGGAGCCUGUCCUUAGAAUUGUGAGGCAGACGCUCUAACCAGUCGUCCACCGUGCCGCAAGUUGCUGUUGUUUUAUUAUUAUUCUAUUUGUCAUUCGCUUGAUUUAUUCUUAUUCAUUUAUGUACUUGUAUUUUUUUUAUUUUCUCUUUUUUUCUUUCUCACACUUUAUACUGAUUUGCAUGGUGAAAGGACACGUGCAUGGAGUGGGGAUCUUCUUGACCCUUUGUUUGCGGUUCCUGCGUCUGUGGGGGCGUGACUUUUGGGGGUGGGCUGGAGGGGUGGCAUUGGAUCCCUGCGCCCUCCUCCGGUUGGCCAGUUGUCGUGGCGCCUCGGUGGGGCCGGCGGACCGCCCUGGGUCCCUUGGUGUCGGAUGUGUCAGAUCCACCGGGCUGCUCUCCGGUAGACUCCUGGGCGAUCCCGCCUAUCGAUUGAUUGGGUGGGGUCCUCAGCCACCGCCGUGCAGGUGCUACCGUCAGUCUGUCAUCUGUGUUUCACCCUGAAACCAACGGACAAACCCGUAGGCUGAACCAGGACCUGGAGACUGGGCUCCGAUGUCUCGCUUCACAGGAGCCAGAAUCCUGGUCUCAGAAACUGGUUUGGGUCAAAUUCUCUCACAAUUCCCUCCCCUCUGCAUCCACUGGUCUAUCGCCUUUUCACGUUGUGCAUGGUUACCAACCAUCUCUAUUUCCUACCAUAGCCCCAGAGUCCACAGUUCCAGCGGCAUUGACCUUGGUGAGACGCUGCAGGAGGACCUGGGAGCGAGCCCGCCAGAUGCUACUGUGCCAGGGACGGUCCUACAAGACCGCAGCUGACCGUAGGAGGACACCGGCCCCAAACUACAAAGUGGGUCAGCGACUUUGGCUCUCCGCCAAGCAUAUUCCACUCCGGGUGGGGUCCAGGAAGCUCGCUCCCAGGUUCGUUGGGCCCUUCCCCAUCACAAAGAUCAUUAACCCUGUCACCGUGAAGCUGAGGCUCCCAAGGUCGAUGCGGGUCCACCCAGCUUUUCACGUCAGCCUGCUCAAGCCCGCCCGGCAUUGCCCUCUGGUCCCACCUUCCAGGCUCCGUCCUCCCCCCCGGUUCAUGGAUGGGGGCCCUGUCUUCACUGUGAGGCGGCUGUUGUCGUUUCAUCGCAGGGGGCGGGGGUUUCAAUAUCUGAUGGACUGGGAGGGCUACGGGCCUGAGGAACGUUCUUGGGUGCCGUCUGCGUUUAUCGUGGAUGACUCGCUCAUUCGGGUCUUCCACGUUGCGCAUCCAGGGGCUCUUGGGCCGUCUGGGGCCGGCCGUUAAGGUGGGGGGGGGAGGGGUGCACUGUCAUGGGUGUGUGUUCCGGAUGUUGUUUUCCCCCUGUCUCGUACACACCUGCUCCUGAGAGCAUCUUCACCACCUGUGCCUGGUUCACCCUAAUUACCACUUGCAUUUAAUCUCGUGUCUCAUUCUUUCUAGUCGCCAGUUUGUUGAUGGACUGGGAGGGCUACGGGCCUGAGGAACGUUCUUGGGUGGCAUCUGCGUUUAUCGUGGAUGACUCGCUCAUUCGGGUCUUCCACGUUGCGCAUCCAGAGGCUCUGGGGCCGGCCGUUAAGGUGGGGGGGGGGGGGGGGGUGCACUGUCAUGGGUGUGUGUUCCGGAUGUUGUUUUCCCCCUGUCUCGUACACACCUGCUCCUGAGAGCAUCUUCACCACCUGUGCCUGGUUCACCCUAAUUACCCCUUGCAUUUAACCUCGUGUCUCAUUCUUUCUAGUCGCCAGUUUGUUGUACCUUGUCGUCGCGUUCCAGCAUUCCUUGUUUCCACGUCACAGACUCACAGUAAGACUAGACCCUGUUCCGAUUAUCGACCUCGCCUUUUUGCCUUUUUACUGUUGCCUUUUUUUGGAUUGACUGCCUGUGUACCAACCUCUGCCUGUAUAUUAAACCUCUCUUUUUUAAACUG